rnacentral:rRNA from 1 species
GUACUCAGUUCGGAUUGAAGGCUGAAAUUCGCCUUCAUGAAGCUGGAAUUGCUAGUAAUGGCAGGUCAGCAUACUGCCGUGAAUACGUUCCCGGGCCUUGUACACACCGCCCGUCACACCAUGAGAGUUGGGAAUACCCGAAGCCUGUGAGCUAACUGUAAGGAGGCAGCAGUCGAAGGUAGAAUCAAUGAUUGGGGUGAAGUCGUAACAAGGUAAC